UACGUAGGGUGCGAGCGUUGUCCGGAAUUAUUGGGCGUAAAGGGCUCGUAGGCGGUUUGUCGCGUCGGGAGUGAAAACCAGGUGCUUAACACCUGGCUUGCUUUCGAUACGGGCAGAAUAGAGGUAUUCAGGGGAGAACGGAAUUCCUGGUGUAGCGGUGAAAUGCGCAGAUAUCAGGAGGAACACCGGUGGCGAAGGCGGUUCUCUGGGCAUUACCUGACGCUGAGGAGCGAAAGUGUGGGGAGCGAACAGG
rnacentral:rRNA from 1 species